rnacentral:rRNA from 1 species
GACGAACCGUGCGAACGUUGUUCGGAUUCAUUGGGCGUAAAGGGUGCGUAGGCGGCGCGGUAAGUCGGGUGUGGAAUCUUGGAGCUUAACUCCGAAACUGCAUUCGAUACUGCCGUGCUUGAGGACUGGAGAGGAGACUGGAAUUUACGGUGUAGCAGUGAAAUGCGUAGAGAUCGUAAGGAAGACCAGUGGCGAAGGCGGGUCUCUGGACAGUUCCUGACGCUGAGGCACGAAGGCCAGGGGAGCAAACGGG